UGCAGUGGAUAUUUGAUUAAGAUAUUGGGGUUUCUUGAACCAGUGGCCUCGCAAGAUCUAGAUGCACAGAUUCUCUACUUCACAUGCAUGCUAGGCACCACAGGAAAGAGAGAUGAAGAUCUCGAGUAUCUCUCCUUCAAAAGGGAAGCAAGGCGAGUCUGUCAAGAACCAAUUUCAUGAUAGGAAACUAGGGAGGAUCUUUUCAUGCC
rnacentral:lncRNA from 1 species